GGACUGCCGGUGACAAACCGGAGGAAGGUGGGGAUGACGUCAGGUCAUCAUGGCCCUUACGGCCAGGGCUACACACGUGCUACAAUGGCGCGCACAGAGGGCUGCAAACCCGCGAGGGGGAGCUAAUCUCACAAAACGCGUCGUAGUCCGGAUCGCAGUCUGCAACUCGACUGCGUGAAGUCGGAAUCGCUAGUAAUCGUGAAUCAGAAUGUCACGGUGAAUACGUUCCCGGGCCUU
rnacentral:rRNA from 1 species